CCACAUAUCGUAUGUUUAGUUGCGCCACCUAGCGGGCGGUAUAGGCUGUAAAUGGCAACCUUAAGAGUGGAAGAUUAAUCGUCAAUAGGUAGGACUGCAUUAGCGUUAACGUUUUUAGCGAAAACCCAGCUCUAAUCCCGGUUGUAACCCAUCUUGUAAUAUCCGCCCACGAAAACCUCAUGAUUUCUUCUUAAUCUGAGUCUCGACCUGAGCGGUUGUAUAGCUGGCAUAGGAACAGCGAUAUUACAACUAAAAGUAAAGAGGUUGUGACAGAUUAAGACUUUUGCAGCUCACCACUGCACAAAUUUUUGCACGGCAUAAGGUGCUACAGUGGCAGUAAACCAAUUCUUGGCCAGAUUCUGGCCAAUACGGUUAAUUACCACCCCCUCACGGGCAGUUCAGUUCGCCAGCGUCUUCGACUGAUUCCCGGUGCAACGA